rnacentral:rRNA from 1 species
AUAGCUGAUUGCACCAACAAAUAGUUGAUGCAAUAUUGACUCUGUCAAAUAAAAUUCUAGGUAGAAUUAUGAUAAUGACAUUGUCUGCCUAUAUGUCUUGACCAAAUUACGUGCCAGCAGUCGCGGUAAUACGUAGAAGACUAGUGUUAUUCAUCUUUAAUAGGUUUAAAGGGUACCUAGACGGUAAAUCAAGCCUUCACAGGGACUAAUUUACUAGAGUUACUUACGAGGGGGUAUUAAAGUACUGCAGGUGUAGAGAUGAAAUUCUGUCACCUCUUUUCAAAAGAAAAAUUAUGGCACAGGUAUAGGUGAAAGCAUCCCCUUAUGUGAUAACUGACGUUGAAGGACGAAGGCUUUGUGUCGCGAACAGGAUUAGAUACCCCAGUAGUCAAAGCAGAAAAUGAUGAAUGUCAUAGAUUAGAUAAAUAGUUUAUUCUAUAAAUGAAAAUGUAAGCAUUCCACCUCAAGAGUAAUUUGGCAACAUUGGAACUGAAAUCAUUAGACCGUUUCUGAAACCAGUAGUGAAGUAUGUUGUUUAAUUUGAUGAUCCGCAAAAAACCUUACCACAAUUUGAAUAUUUAUAUAUAUCUUNUUUUUUCGUAAAAAAAUAAAAAGGUAAUAUAUUUACCGUUGCACGGCUGUCUUCAGUUAAUGUCGCGAGACUUUGGUUAGUUCCAUUAAAUUAACGUAAACCCUUACUUUAUUUUUAUAUGAAGUAGUUCCCCGCUAUAUUGGAUAU